ACAUGCUGUGAGCUCGAUGAGUAGGGCGGGACACGUGGUAUCCUGUCUGAAUAUGGGGGGACCAUCCUCCAAGGCUAAAUACUCCUGACUGACCGAUAGUGAACCAGUACCGUGAGGGAAAGGCGAAAAGAACCCCGGCGAGGGGAGUGAAAAAGAACCUGAAACCGUGUACGUACAAGCAGUGGGAGCCUCUUUAUGGGGUGACUGCGUACCUUUUGUAUAAUGGGUCAGCGACUUAUAUUCUGUAGCAAGGUUAACCGAAUAGGGGAGCCGAAGGGAAACCGAGUCUUAACUGGGCGUUAAGUUGCAGGGUAUAGACCCGAAACCCGGUGAUCUAGCCAUGGGCAGGUUGAAGGUUGGGUAACACUAACUGGAGGACCGAACCGACUAAUGUUGAAAAAUUAGCGGAUGACUUGUGGCUGGGGGUGAAAGGCCAAUCAAACCGGGAGAUAGCUGGUUCUCCCCGAAAGCUAUUUAGGUAGCGCCUCGUGAAUUCAUCUCCGGGGGUAGAGCACUGUUUCGGCAAGGGGGUCAUCCCGACUUACCAACCCGAUGCAAACUGCGAAUACCGGAGAAUGUUAUCACGGGAGACACACGGCGGGUGCUAACGUCCGUCGUGAAGAGGGAAACAACCCAGACCGCCAGCUAAGGUCCCAAAGUCAUGGUUAAGUGGGAAACGAUGUGGGAAGGCCCAGACAGCCAGGAUGUUGGCUUAGAAGCAGCCAUCAUUUAAAGAAAGCGUAAUAGCUCACUGGUCGAGUCGGCCUGCGCGGAAGAUGUAACGGGGCUAAACCAUGCACCGAAGCUGCGGCAGCGACACUAAGUGUUGUUGGGUAGGGGAGCGUUCUGUAAGCCUGUGAAGGUGUACUGUGAGGUAUGCUGGAGGUAUCAGAAGUGCGAAUGCUGACAUAAGUAACGAUAAAGCGGGUGAAAAGCCCGCUCGCCGGAAGACCAAGGGUUCCUGUCCAACGUUAAUCGGGGCAGGGUGAGUCGACCCCUAAGGCGAGGCCGAAAGGCGUAGUCGAUGGGAAACAGGUUAAUAUUCCUGUACUUGGUGUUACUGCGAAGGGGGGACGGAGAAGGCUAUGUUGGCCGGGCGACGGUUGUCCCGGUUUAAGCGUGUAGGCUGGUUUUCCAGGCAAAUCCGGAAAAUCAAGGCUGAGGCGUGAUGACGAGGCACUACGGUGCUGAAGCAACAAAUGCCCUGCUUCCAGGAAAAGCCUCUAAGCAUCAGGUAACAUCAAAUCGUACCCCAAACCGACACAGGUGGUCAGGUAGAGAAUACCAAGGCGCUUGAGAGAACUCGGGUGAAGGAACUAGGCAAAAUGGUGCCGUAACUUCGGGAGAAGGCACGCUGAUAUGUAGGUGAAGCGACUUGCUCGUGGAGCUGAAAUCAGUCGAAGAUACCAGCUGGCUGCAACUGUUUAUUAAAAACACAGCACUGUGCAAACACGAAAGUGGACGUAUACGGUGUGACGCCUGCCCGGUGCCGGAAGGUUAAUUGAUGGGGUUAGCGCA
rnacentral:rRNA from 1 species